GGCGGCAGGGUAGCCUAGUGGUUAGAGUGUAGAGGUGGCAGGGUAGCCUAGUGGUUAGAGUGUAGAGGUGGCAGGGUAGCCUAGUGGUUAGAGUGUAGAGGUGGCAGGGUAGCCUAGUGGUUAGAGUGGAGGGGCGGCAGGGUAGCCUAGUGGUUAGAGUGUAGAGGUGGCAGGGUAGCCUAGUGGUUAGAGUGGAGGGGUGGCAGGGUAGCCUAGUGGUUAGAGUGUAGAGGUGGCAGGGUAGCCUAGUGGUUAGAGUGGAGGGGCGGGUUAGGGUAGCCUAGUGGUUAGAGUGUAGAGGUGGCAGGGUAGCCUAGUGGUUAGAGUGGAGGGGCGGCAGGGUAGCCUAGUGGUUAGAGUGUAGAGGUGGCAGGGUAGCCUAGUGGUUAGAGUGUAGAGGUGGCAGGGUAGCCUAGUGGUUAGAGUGGAGGCCUAG
ensembl:lncRNA